AUUGAACGCUGGCGGCAUGCCUUACACAUGCAAGUCGAACGGCAGCACGGGGGCAACCUGGUGGCGAGUGGCGAACGGGUGAGUAAUGCAUCGGAACGUACCUUUCAGUGGGGGAUAACGUAGCGAAAGUUACGCUAAUACCGCAUAUUCUGUGAGCAGGAAAGCAGGGGAUCGCAAGACCUUGCGCUGAUUGAGCGGCCGAUGUCAGAUUAGCUAGUGGGUGAGGUAAAGGCUCACCAAGGCGACGAUCUGUAGCGGGUCUGAGAGGAUGAUCCGCCAGACUGGAACUGAGACACGGGCCAGACUCCUACGGGAGGCAGCAGUGGGGAAUCUUGGACAAUGGGGGCAGCCCUGAUCCAGCCAUGCCGCGUGAGUGAAGAAGGCCUUCGGGUUGUAAAGCUCUUUCGGCUGGGAAGAAAUCGCACGGGCUAAUACCCUGUGUGGAUGACGGUACCGGAAUAAGAAGCACCGGCUAACUACGUGCCAGCCGCCGCAGUAAAAC
rnacentral:rRNA from 1 species